CCCCUUCUCAUUCCCGCCUCAUCACACUCCUCUAGCCUUGCUUUCUCUCUCGCUCUCUCUCGCUCUCCCUCAUCUCGUUGUUUCAGAGUACGGCCAAAUUUGAAGUCCUUCCCAGGGAGUGGCCCUGUUCAUCCUAUUCUCCAGCCAAAGUAGAAACAGCGUGAGAAGGAGAGAGGCACAUUCAGCAGCCAAAGGACUCGGUGGAAAGAACAGAGGAAAAAUACACACCGUUAGAUAUGCUGCUCUUGGGACCCAGGGUGCUGCUGUUCCUGACCGCACUCAUCCUCCCCUCCGACUGGACACCACUAGGAGUCGGUGGUCAACGAGGAG